ensembl:lncRNA
CCCUGGACCCAGCUGUGUCUCCAUGAAGAGUGACCAGUCUAUGAAUCAGCCUGCUAACUUUAAAGAUGGAAAUCAGUCUAUUGAGAAGAGAAGAGUCCAGCAGAAGAUAACAGACUCCCCUGGACCCAGCUGUGUCUCCAUGAAGAGUGGCUGGUCUAUGGAGCAUCCUAUUGUGCAAUUUAAAGAUGGAAAUCAGUCUAUUGAGAAAAGAGUCCAGCAGCAGAGAGCAGACUCCCCUGGACCCAGCUGUGUCUCCAUGAAGAGUGACCACUCUAUGAAUCAUCCUGUUACCUUUAAAGAUGGAAAUCAGUCUAUCGAGAAGAGGUGAGGAUUUAUCAUAUAUUAUAAAGGUACAGCUUCUAUCAAACGUCCAUAAAUCCUGGUUCUUGUUUUUCUCGAAGAGUCCAGCAGGAGUGAGCAGACUCUUGUUAUCAGACUUUACUGGUACUGAUGUUUCUAAG